UACGGAGGGAGCUAGCGUUGUUCGGAAUUACUGGGCGUAAAGCGCACGUAGGCGGCUUUGUAAGUUAGAGGUGAAAGCCCGGGGCUCAACUCCGGAACUGCCUUUAAGACUGCAUCGCUUGAAUCCGGGAGAGGUGAGUGGAAUUCCGAGUGUAGAGGUGAAAUUCGUAGAUAUUCGCAAGAACACCAGUGGCGAAGGCGGCUCACUGGCCCGAUACUGACGCUGAGGCACGAAAGCGUGGGGAGCAAACAGG
rnacentral:rRNA from 1 species